GAACUGAAGGGAGGGAUGGAGAUGCAAGUGUAGCAUUUACACAGCAUGGUGGGGAACCCUUCUCAGAACAAUCCAUAGGCCAGUGACGGGCAAGGACAAAAGUGGGAAGAGGAAUGGAUGGAUGUGACUCUUGCUUUGUACAGUAGGCUAAAUUCCAGCCGUACUGAAAUUUAAAGAUUUCCAUACAUCUCCUAAUUGCCACCUUCAGUUCUAGCAAGUAAGAUGUGUUAUUAUAAGAACAUAAGAGGAGCCUGCUGGAUCAGACCAAUGACCCAUUUUGUCCAGCAUCCUGCUUCCACAUUGGCCAAGCAGAUGCCCACAAGCAAGAGCCAAACACAAGAGCAUCCCUCCCCCUCCUGUGGUUUCCAGCAAGUGGUGUUCAGAAAUAUAUGGGCAUGGAGACAGAGCGUUGCCCAGUUGGCUAGUAGCCAUUGAUAGGCUUAUUCUCCAUGAAUCUGUCUAAUUCUAUUUUAAAACCAGCCAAGUUGGUGGCCACCAUCGUCUCCUGUGGGAGUGAGUUCCAUAGUUUAUCAUCAUGGAGGUUUUUUUUGAAGCAAAGCAAACCACAAUUCCUCAUUUGGACACAAUGCUAAGCCAGGGAUCAUGGUUUGUUUCUCCUGCAUACUAUCAGGGAGGUGCAAAAGAACCCAGUUUGGUGCAUUCACAGUAAACUACUAGCUGUGUUUUCACCAUGUGAAUCAGUACAGAUCACAGAAUAGAACUAUAGAGCUGGAAGGUACCGCGGGGGUCAUCUAGUCCAACCCCCUGCAAUGCGGGAAUCUUUUGCCCAACAUGGGACUCGAACCCACCGCCCUGAGAUUAAGAGUCUCACACUCUACCGGCUGAGCUAUCCACGUUUUGUUUCAGUUGGGGUAGUGAGGGUUCAAUGGUUAAGUCAGAUCCUUCCUGGAAGAGGUAGGAUUUGAGGAGGAAUUUUAAACAAGAGAGAUGUAUCUCCGUAGAUGUUCUGGGAUGUAAUUCUAAGUACAGAGAAAGAGACAAGGCUGAGGUAGUUGGACAACUGAGGAUGGCAGAGUUGGUGACCUGAAGCCAUAGAUAUAACAGAAAAUAAGUGACAGUAAAAAAGUCUGAGGCAAAGCGCUGGUGUGGAAGGAAAUGGGAAACCAUUGUGGAUGUCUGAGGAGACAUGGCACGUGUCCUGAGUAAUAAGAUGGAUAAUGUUCAUCUAAGAUAGAAAGCUGUUUCAUAAGGCCUCUAUCACCUGCCAGUGCCGAUCAACACAAAAUAUCAGAGCCCCACAUAGAUCAAUGCAACCAAGACUUACAAGUAUGCUGGAAUCAGAAAGCUGGAGGCAACUUCUGUGUAUUUCAAAUGGAAAAAUGCUUGUGUGCCCUUGGCAACUGUUGUGGAGAACACAUAUUUUGUACUGGUAUAUUUUUACUUGAGUACAAAAUGUGAGAAGACACCCUCCAAUUAUCUAUUCAGCACACUGCAUGGGUCAUUUGGUGACUGUGUUGCGUUCCUUUUACCCAAGCAACACCCUCUGCCUGUUUUUCUAAAGCUAUGGGUAUAGAUUUGGAGAUUUGGUCAGAUCAGAGAUACAGGGGUGCUCCAUACCAAAUUAUCACAAUUUAGAUGGCAAGGUGAAUGGGUUCAUUUCUGAACCCUGAGAAACAAAAAACAUAAGAUGUAACCUGUCAGAGUGGAUUACUGUUUUAUACUAACUAAUUUGUUGUUGAAUUUUAUAUAGAAUAUGUUGUAUAUGCAGUAUAUACAUGUUUUAAAUGGAUUAAAAAUGUAAAUAUAUAAACAAAAGGGGGGAGGGAGGUGUGGAAAAAAAUUAAUGGGCUAAUUUAUGUACUGAAAGGAGUAAUUUUGCAGUAAAUGGUGAAAAGAUGAAUAGUCAAGCCACACACCUUUUUUGUGUAGGUCAGGAUUCAAUUUUGGAUUGUUGAGUUGUGCUAUAUGACAAGGCAGGGCUGGAAACAGUUUAUUUCCGGCAUACGUUCUGCUAAAGUUUAGUUUAACUAUUACACGAUUUGUCUGCCAUUUGUUGAUUAAGACAAUCUGUCUUUUCCCAAAGUACACUUGAGUUCGCAUACAAUUUCCCCCCGCAUUUGUGCACUUUUCUAUAAUACACCAUUUCAAGGCAGAUGCACUUAUUAACAAGAGUGUAGGCUGAGGAGAAAAGGUGUGGCCUGAGGAGACUUCUGGGGAGGCUGCGUUUGAUCUCCAGGCUGAGGUGCCUCUAAAAGGGGGGGGGGCACUGCCAAUUCUUGGAGCCUCCUGGCUCUUUUGGUCCCCCUCCUUGUUUUUGUUGCCUGUUCACCUGCCCUCUCUGAGCAAGAGAGCAGUAGGAGGAGCAAGGAGGAGGAACAAUAAUCUCCACCAACCUUGCCUUCUUCCUCUAGGAGUUGGUGCUGAUGGAGCCUGGCAGAGUCAAGUACAGUGGUACCUUGGUUCUCAAACUUAAUCCGUUCCAAAACCAAAGCAUUCCAAAACCAAGGUGCGCUUUCCCAUAGAAAGUAAUGCAAAACGGAUCAGUCCAUUCCAGACUUUUGAAAACAACCCCUAAAACAGCAAUUUAACAUGAAUUUUACUAUCUAAUGAGACCAUUGAGCCAUGAAAUGAAAGCAAUAAUCAAUGUACUGUACUAUAAAAUAAAUAAAACAGUAUUGUAGAUGAUAAAAAUUGAAAAUAAUUUUUUUUCUUAGCUGCACUGAUGAUAGUCACUGUUUGGAUGGGGGGCUUUUAUCCAUUUCCACAGUCACACAAUCAAUCAAUUAAUCAGUAGCUGAACUGGGUUCCACACAGUCACAAAAACAAAUUGACCGAAAAAGCCUCAAAAACAAAAAUGCAAAAUAAAUGGCAAAAACAAAAGCACCAAACUUAAUCCGUUCCAGAAGCCUGCUUGACUUCCGAAAUGUUCGAAAACCAAGGCGCAGCUUCUGAUUGGUGCAGGUGCUGACAGCCGCAUCCGAUGUUCGGUUUCCGAAAUUCGUUUGAAAACUGGAACACUUCUGGGUUUUCGGCAUUUGAGAACCAAGUUGUUUGAGAACCAAGGUACCACUCUAAAUGGGAGGUGGACACAGUUGAGGAGGAGGUGGCAGGUGCCCGUCCAGCACAUGAAGUUUGGUAUUUGUGCACAAGUAUUUAAAAAUAACUCUUUGGGUCUCAGCACAUAACCUUGUUUGGACAGGCGUGCUCUGUUGUCUCUCAUACUAGUGGCAAUGACAAAGUGACUUUGGAGAAGAAUGUGGCCACAAACAGAUACUCUAUUCCAUUUGCCAUCUAAAGUUUGUGGUUGUGAAGAUAUUUCUCCAAGAUGACUCACAAAUGGAAUUCUUCUCUUGACUGAGAAUUCACCUAUUGGAUUACACUCCACGUCACCACUUUCUGCAUGGUGCCUCAGUGUCUCCUUUGCCCACCAGCCCAUCCCACUGUUAGAAUUCCUGCUCCGUGAUUGCAGUCAUGGGAUUUUUGUCUAUCACAUGACAGUGUAUGUUUUGACUCCACAGAGUGGGAAGUGACGGAGACAGUAUGUUUGUGUACUGUGUUCCAUGAAGUGGGACUAUUGUCCUUUGUUCUUUUCCUCUUUGCUGUCUGAUGCUAGAGAGAGAUGGAGCCAUGUUGCAGUGCACCGUGUGUGUUUAUAUGUAAAUAAAGUAGAUUAGCCAAAAUGCUGAGUUGCUGAGGUCUGUUAUGCAACUGUGAAGACUCUGCGGAUCCCUAAGUGUGCCGAUGUCUGUUGGCAUCAGUCGCUGUGAUGUUCGGCCAGAAGAAAGCUUUUGAAGCUCCUGAACGAUCGACCAGGAGGGAGGGAACAUGCUAGUCGGGCGUGUGUCUCUGCCAGGGUCCUACUCGAGAGUAGGACGAGCUCCUAACACCAACCACCCAUUUUGCAAAUACAUAGCAUAGUGUUUAGGACAGAUUGUCCCCCUGACACUGGGCAUAUGCCUAAUGGAUAACGAAUUGGGCUGUCACAUUGAGCUUGCACACUCUUCCCACUGGCAGCAUUUGGAUGAUCGUAUUUCAGCUUGAUAAGCCAAAAUACAAAUGAGCUUCAUGCAACCGCAUACAAUGGUUUUGCUCCUCCCCUUCAUUUGGGCAGGUAAACACGCCAGAAAGCAAAAAUGAACAAUGGCUGCCCGUUAAACGGAGAUACGAUGAGCCUCCCGCACCCACAUUACAGUUAAUGGCUUCCAUACAAGGCAGGAUAUAAAGUCAUGAUUUCAAGUUAGCUUAAUAUCCUGGCUUGUGUGGAAGUCAUUAACCACAGUUUCCUGGUUUGGAUGUAGCAGGAAGCUAUGAUCAAUUGCAGCUUCCUGGCUUGUUUUCUCACUUGCACAAAGGGCACAUGCAGGCGCAGGAGGCUCAUUCGUAUCUCAGUCUAUUAAGCAAUGUUAUGAUCAAGCCAGAUGCAACCGCUGUUUCUCUCUGUGUUUAAUGAGAACUUGGACACACAUGUCUUCACAAAUAUACUGUGCUUGCAUCUUUCAAGACAGAGCUGAGAAACCUGUAGCUCUCCAGAUGCUGGAUUCAACCCCCUGACCUUUGGCAACGCUAGCUGGGGCUAAGGGAAGUUGGCAUGUGAGGGUUUCUCCAAGGCCACAGGUUCCCUAGCCCCAUGUUAAGUGGUGAAAGUAUUGCAAGGAUCAGUCAGUUGGGCAUACUCUGCUCAUUUCCCGUGUCACAUUGUAUGGGAAGAUUGGGUGGUAUUUAACUAAGUUCCUGCAGCAGUGCAAGGGCUAGCGAUACUACAGAGCGAUUCCCACCCCCUGCAUAUACUUGUCAUGGGCCAAGAGUCAGCUUCACCUGCUGAACAGCAGCCUGAAGCGGGAGAAGGCAGAGGGACCACCUGCGGCUGAUCAGCCUUCAAGGACACUGAGAAGAAGGCACUGAUGAGAACCAAGCUGGCUUCAACUUUAAAUAGAGCUCUCAGCAACAGUUAGAUGCUGGAAAUAACGCCUGUGGUUC